rnacentral:rRNA from 1 species
UACGAGGGGGGCGAGCGUUGUUCGGAAUACUGGGCGUAAAGCGUGCGCAGGCGGUGAUGUAAGACAGUUGUGAAAUCCCCGGGCUCAACCUGGGAACUGCAUCUGUGACUGCAUCGCUGGAGUGCGGCAGAGGGGGAUGGAAUUUCGUGUGUAGGGGUGAAAUCCGUAAAUAUACGAAGGAACGCCAAAAGCGAAGGCAGCUCUCUGGGUCCCUACCGACGCUGGGGUGCGAAAGCAUGGGGAGCGAACAGG